ACGGCCAGAUAAACGUAAGGUUAUUCACCGAAAGUACGAGAACUUGAGGCUGAGGUAAACUCGAAACGACCCAAGGACCACCUGUCCCACUGGGUGUUGGGGCGUGUGUGGGAAGACUGUGCUAAGCCACUGAGUGUCACUUACGGGUCCAUAAUGGUCACUUUGCCUCGUUCUCACCGGCAGUUAGGGUCUGUUGUGCCACAAUAAAUAUACUAACUACUAAUACGACGUUAACUUUAGGGAAACAGUGUUAGAGGAUUAAGAGUGAGUGUAAAUACUGGGGUAAAGGGGUGUAUGAGAGGCAGCGACCAUGAGGAGGGUGUGAGGGAGGUGUUGAGGCGGGCAGGUGGGGCCCAGCUCCUCACUCUCCUCCUCGCCUUCACGCCAGUAACAUCGUCUGGCUGCUUCUCUUCAUAUAUUACGAUGCAGUGUCUACGGUCUUAAUUAAUGACCUUGGUGUCCCAACUAGCUGGAAUGACUAGCCAGUUUCUGCAGGCUCCUGGUUUUCAGAACUUGGAUGUGUCGGUUGCUCUUGGCAACAGUUUUCAGAGAUGCGGGUCGCCCACUACCUGAAUUAAACACUACACGCUGUAGUAGCGACGCCUUCACCCUGAAAGGUCCUGGCAGGGCCCCGACUUGAGCUGAGCAGCGCCGAUGAAACAUUGUUCCUGACCAGGCCCCCGAGUUACUGUGUU